rnacentral:rRNA from 1 species
UACGUAGGGCGCAAGCGUUAUCCGGAAUUAUUGGGCGUAAAGAGCUCGUAGGCGGUUUGUCGCGUCUGCCGUGAAAGUCCGGGGCUCAACUCCCGGAUCUGCGGUGGGUACGGGCAGACUAGAGUGAUGUAGGGGAGACUGGAAUUCCUGGUGUAGCGGUGAAAUGCGCAGAUAUCAGGAGGAACACCGAUGGCGAAGGCAGGUCUCUGGGCAUUAACCUGACGCUGAGGAGCGAAAGCAUGGGGAGCGAACAGG